rfam:Mus musculus chromosome 3, GRC primary reference assembly.
ACACUCUGGCAAUGGGCAAAUGACAUUUUGUCAUUGGUGGUGAUUUUAUAUUAGUCAGGGACAGAGCAGAUGGCAGUCCUUUGUUCAUCCUAGCUUGAUGCCUGGCUUGGUGGCCCAAGCUGUUUUAUGCCUAAGACACAUCA